CCAAGGAGUCUAACGUAGUCGCGAGUCUUCGGGUAGUCAAUCCUGCUGGCGCAAUGAAAGUGAUUUGGCCCGAUUCAUGUAAAUGACGCAGGGCCGGCCCGUCGGGGGUUGUCACGGCCCCGGCGGAGCUAGAGCGACUGUGUUGGGACCCGAAAGAUGGUGAACUAGGCCCGAGCAGGACAAAGCCGGGAGAAAUGCUGGUGGCGGUCCUCAGUGGUUCUGACGCGCAAAUCGAUCACGAAACUUGGGCGUAGGGGCGAAAGACUAAUCGAACCAUCUA
rnacentral:rRNA from 1 species